rnacentral:rRNA from 1 species
AGACCGAUAGCGAACAAGUAGAGUGAUCGAAAGAUGAAAAGCACUUUGAAAAGAGAGUUAAACAGCACGUGAAAUUGUUGAAAGGGAAGCGUUGUCCACCAGACUCGCCCGGGGGGGUUCAGCCGGCACGUGUGCCGGUGUACUCCUCUCCGGGCGGGCCAGCAUCGGUUUGGGCGGCUGGUGAAAGGCCCCGGGAAUGUGCCACCCUUCGGGGUGCCUUAUAGCCCGGGGUGCCAUGCAGCCAGCCUGGACCGAGGCCCGCGCUUCGGCGAGGAUGCUGGCGUAAUGGUGGUCAACGGCCCGUCUUGAAACACGGACCAAG